CCUACGGGAGGCUGCAGUGGGGGAUAUUGCACAAUGGGGGAAACCCUGAUGCAGCGACGCCGCGUGUGGGAAGACGGUCCUCUGGAUUGUAAACCACUGUCCCCAGGGACGAAGAUGACGGUGCCUGGGACGGACGCUCCGGCUAACUACGUGCCAGCAGCCGCGGUAAUACGUGGGGAGCGAGCGUUGUCCGGAAUUACUGGGUGUACAGGGAGCGUAGGCGGGGAUGCAAGUUGGGUGUCAAAACUACCGGCUCAACUGGUAGUCGCACUCAAAACUGCAGCUCUUGAGUGAAGUAGAGGCAGGCGGAAUUCCUAGUGUAGCGGUGAAAUGCGUAGAUAUUAGGAGGAACACCAGUGGCGAAGGCGGCCUGCUGGGCUGUGACUGACGCUGAGGCUCGAAAGUGUGGGGAGCAAACAGGAUUAGAUACCCGGGUAGUC
rnacentral:rRNA from 1 species